CAUCGCGAGGUGGAAUCUGAAGGAAGAGGGAGGCAAACCGUCGGUCCGAGGGUCACGAACCACAAUUGAGGCCGGUCACAUGGAUAAGCGUACAAACCAACGUGAAGUCCGAAUAGUUACUUGAUGUGGCAGGUAAAUGAGGCGGAGAAUA
rnacentral:ncRNA from 1 species